CCCCCCGCCACAAAAAUGAUCCCUAGACUUUUGGUUUUGAAAUCUCUCUCUCUCACUCUCUCUCGGUCAUCUGGCGGGGCCGCUGGUCCUAUUGAAAGGUGAUGGCGGGCGACGAAGUGCCUGGGACGGGGGGAAGAGGAGGGGAGGGCUUUUUUAAUUGCUCGGUAAUGGGGCUGUUGCUAUUUUCUCAGGAGCAAUCAUUCCUGGAGCUAAAUCGCAAGAGCCCUAGACAGGCCGGAGCCGACAAAAAUGUAGCUUUUGACGUUAAAAGCUAAAUGGGGAAGCGGGGCGGUGGGAAGGUAAAUUGAUGGCCGAUUGGGAUGUCAGGAGCCCUGGCCCCAGAUCGCUGGGCUGGAGCGGCGGGCCUGAUAAGGUCCUCGCCAGAGUACGUGGCCCUCUCAGGCAGCGACUGGCCGAGAUCUAGGAUGGGUCUGGCACAAAGAAAGAGGCAUCUCCCAGCCCGCGCUCUCUCCUUCCCUCCUCCUCCUCCUCCUCCUCCUCCUCCUCCUCCUCCUGCUCUCCCUCUCUCCUUCCUUCUCCCUGUCUAUGGCAAAGUUCUUGCGAAGGUCAAGCUUGAAUUCUCUCCCUCGCUCUUUGCACGCGCGCACGCAGAUAGAUUGAGACGAGAACUGCUCCGGGAUGAGCCCCGUGGUGGAGCGGGGACUUGCUCCUUUGUCGCCUUCCGGCUGGGAAUACUGGCUAAAAGGGCUGCGGCGAGUAUCUGAUAGCUACAUCCCUUGUGGCAUCUUGAAGCAGAACACACAUGCAAGCCUCCAUAGGUUGUCCCAAGAUUCUUCAUGGGUAGCAGCAAAAACAAAAACAAAAACAAAACUCUUGCUCCAUUUUUCUGGAUAUUCUAUACUGUAUAUUAAAGCUGCAAUGGAAAAA